CGAACGCUGGCGGCGUGCCUAAUACAUGCAAAUAGAACGCUGAAGGAGGAGCUUGCUUCUCUGGAUGAGUUGCGAACGGGUGAGUAACGCGUAGGUAACCUGCCUGGUAGCGGGGGAUAACUAUUGGAAACGAUAGCUAAUACCGCAUAAGAGUAGAUGUUGCAUGACAUUUGCUUAAAAGGUGCAAUUGCAUCACUACCAGAUGGACCUGCGUUGUAUUAGCUAGUUGGUGGGGUAACGGCUCACCAAGGCGACGAUACAUAGCCGACCUGAGAGGGUGAUCGGCCACACUGGGACUGAGACACGGCCCAGACUCCUACGGGAGGCAGCAGUAGGGAAUCUUCGGCAAUGGACGGAAGUCUGACCGAGCAACGCCGCGUGAGUGAAGAAGGUUUUCGGAUCGUAAAGCUCUGUUGUAAGAGAAGAACGAGUGUGAGAGUGGAAAGUUCACACUGUGACGGUAUCUUACCAGAAAGGGACGGCUAACUACGUG
rnacentral:rRNA from 1 species